GCGGAGGCAGCGCCUCCGUGUGCCCGGCCGCGGCGCAUCUCCCCGCCGGCGUCAGGGAGGCGCGGGCCGGGCCAGGUGCACACGGCCACGCGGGGACCGGGUCGGCCGCGCACAUUCAGACCCAGGAGCGCCUGACAAGUACGCCCCGACUGAGCCCGGUACAGUCACGGUCGCGCUGAAUGAAUCAGGUACCCAGAGGUCGAUCCACCCACCGCUGGAGGCCCAUAGUGUGAACUUGCCAAUCAGCAAACGAGGCUCCACGCUGCCCAGAAGGGCUGUGGACUCAGCAUGGCAGAGAUGGGGGACUGGGGCACCGGGCUCAGGACGGGACAGAGACUUGCUGCAGCUACUGGAAGAGGACAUGCUUAUUUCAGGGGGUGGGGUGUUGGGGGGAAGCCUGGAAUCUCAAAGGGGUCACUUUGGGUCUAGAACUGGUAGGAGCCUUCAACAAAAUGGCAGAGUCUGGAGUCAGCCCGGCCUGACUCAGGUCUGAGUCCUUUCUCUACUGUGCACUAGCUCUUUGACCAUGGGCAUGAGACUUUACCUCCUUGAGCCUCAAGUUCCUGAUCUGCAGAAUGGGGUAAUAAUAGGGCUUAUUCCAAAAGAUUUUUGUAAAGAUUUACUGGAGGAGUAAUGUAUACAAUUGUUGAAUCACUAUAGUGUCCACAUGAACCUAGUAUAACACCGUAUAUUAACUAUAUUGGAAUUAAAAUAAAAAACAUAAUAGUAAUAAUAAGAGAUUUCCUGGGAAAAAAUACCAAGUAAAGCAUUUUGCUUGA